AGUCGAGCGGUAACAGGAGAAGCUUGCUUCUCGCUGACGAGCGGCGGACGGGUGAGUAAUACUUAGGAAUCUACCUAGUAGUGGGGGAUAGCUCGGGGAAACUCGAAUUAAUACCGCAUACGACCUACGGGAGAAAGGGGGCAACUUGUUGCUCUCGCUAUUAGAUGAGCCUAAGUCGGAUUAGCUAGAUGGUGGGGUAAAGGCCUACCAUGGCGACGAUCUGUAGCUGGUCUGAGAGGAUGAUCAGCCACACCGGGACUGAGACACGGCCCGGACUCCUACGGGAGGCAGCAGUGGGGAAUAUUGGACAAUGGGGGCAACCCUGAUCCAGCCAUGCCGCGUGUGUGAAGAAGGCCUUUUGGUUGUAAAGCACUUUAAGCAGUGAAGAAGACUCUAUGGUUAAUACCCAURGACGAUGACAUUAGCUGCAGAAUAAGCACCGGCUAACUCUGUGCCAGCAGCCGCGGUAAUACAGAGGGUGCAAGCGUUAAUCGGAAUUACUGGGCGUAAAGCGAGCGUAGGUGGCUUGAUAAGUCAGAUGUGAAAGCCCCGGGCUUAACCUGGGAACGGCAUCUGAUACUGUUAGGCUAGAGUAGGUGA
rnacentral:rRNA from 1 species